UACGAAGGGGGCGAGCGUUGUUCGGAAUUACUGGGCGUAAAGGGCGCGUAGGCGGCGACUCAAGUUAGAUGUGAAAGUCCUGGGCUUAACCUGGGGACUGCAUUUGAUACUGGGUUGCUUGAAUUCGGGAGAGGAUAGCGGAAUUCCCAGUGUAGAGGUGAAAUUCGUAGAUAUUGGGAAGAACACCGGUGGCGAUGGCGGCUAUCUGGACCGACAUUGACGCUGAGGCGCGAAAGCGUGGGGAGCAAACAGG
rnacentral:rRNA from 1 species